CUAAAAACCGUUGGCUUUAUUGACCGUGAGGGUUCAAGUCCCUCUACCCCCA
rnacentral:tRNA from 1 species